rnacentral:lncRNA from 1 species
UAGAAUUUACAAUUAGUUAAUGUAUUCCCUGUUACCAAAGUUUAAAUGGAGUAACUGCUGAAUACAUUUAAAAAUGGUAGCUAAUUUCCAAUUCAAAUAUAAUUAAAUUUAAACAAGCUUUAUUUGAACAUUAGGCGCUAAGACAGCAUCAGUUUGAAGGAACUGAGGUCAGUCUAGAAUUACCUGACAGGUUCAUGUAAUAUAAUUAGCAUAUUAAAUGUUUUAAUUCUCGACAGUAUAUAGUUUUCAAUGCUACAUGCAAGAAUUGGUAAAUAGUUUUAAAUAUUUUCUGUCUGUAUUGGUAAUUCAGGGCAUUCACUACGUAUUCUAACUACCCGCUAGCAAUGGUCGAUAAUAAUUUCUAAAAAGAUAUCUACAAAAAUCUAGAAGUACAUAUUGGAGAAGCUUCUAUCUGAGACCGAAUGACGAAAACUUUCUAUGCGUAGCUUGAGAAAAUGAUUAGCCCAGGUUAAUCUUCGUCCAACUAUCAAACCAGGGCGUUGUGCGGAUGCAUUUAAUUUAACGACGUCCAUCAAGAUUCGUUGGAUUGCUUGGUAUAUUGAUGAAGCUUUAGGAGAUUAUAAAGGGAACACGUUCCAUUUUAGAAAUGUUUGCAGAAAAACUAAAUGUAACGUAGCUACAUUUAACGUUCUCAGAGUCACAGAUGUCUGCGUUACAAGACGAUCUGCGAAUCUACCUUAUGAAAAUGAAGGCGUCGGAAAAACAACUGGUAUAUAAUCCGUUUUUGCGGGACUCAGUACAUUUAUAUAAAUGAUAAAUAUAAAUGGGCCUAGGAGUGAAUUUUGAGGAAUCCUUCUUUUUGUUGAAUAGUCAUUCGAGAUAGUAUUCGCCAGUGCAUACAGUUGAGAAGUGGUUGAUCAAGUCACAUGUGAACCAACUGCAUAUUACACGAGAAAAAUCAUAGUUCUGGAAGGACAUCGUGCGAGCUUGAGUGAGAAGAUUUUGCGAUAUCACCUAAAGCCAGAAGGAAGGCGUGUUCUUCAUCGCAAAAGAAAGAGCUCAGACGGUUCGAGUGAUAUGACUGUGACUCAAUGCUGCGAGCGUUUCAGUUUGCGUCCAUGGAUGGAGCUGUCAUCGUAAACGUCGUGCAAUCAAUUGAACGCUGGUAUCAUACACGAGUAUUUUCGUUUGGAACCAGCACAACACCAGCUACUGCGUCUACACACCUUGUAGUCAUCCUUUUGCGUUUUCCUUGAUGGAUACGAAUUCAAAGGACUACCCAUUAUGCCUUUCUCAGAGAACAUUAUCGGAAUAUUAUCUUCUUGUAAUGAGGUCCCACCAGGAACGCAGUGAAUCCUAUCGUUCACGGUUUUACUCAGCUGAUAUAUGGAGUGGUGUUUUUUGCAAAUAGUCAGCCCGUUCGAGUCAACAGCAUUCGCUCGCAACCCAUACCCCAAAAAAAAAAAAAGGGGAGUCUGCGUGUGUGAUAGGGAGUCACUAGUUUAAGCCAAUCGGGAAAAAGCAAGAGCUUCGUUAUCGACUACUUUGAAACGUCGGAGAAGUAUCGCUUACGCCUUGUCCGAUCCGGUCGCAAAUCGGCGAACGAUCGCAUGCUAUGGGUUAGUGCAAUAUCUGCGAGAGUGACAGAGGAAAAUGGGGCUAUUACUCCGCCGGCCAUAAACCAUUACGAGAAACAUCUGUCCAUAAACGACGCUUACACCUGACGUGAGGUCGUGGUGCUCUAUUUUUGAGGCAUGGGUAAGUUCUGUAUUCAUAUGCCCUUUAACCUCGUCUACAAUACAAUUCCUGUUCGAGGCGAGAUGUCUAGAGCACCGCAAUUCCUAUUUUCAUUUAAGUAGACAAUGAUCUGUGAGUAUAACCAGUUUAGCCAAUGAAAAUUAAGCGGAAAAAUUAUAGUUACCAAAGUAUUAACAGCUUCAAGUAAAACAUCUGUAUGAUGCAAGGGGCUUUGUUUAGUUCGGUCGAGGUCACUCAGUACUUUUACUAUCUGUGGAGUAUACGCAGUCCCCACAUAGGUAAAGCCCAUCGUAAAUUUUCCUUCCCUCUGGCGAGAAAUUAUUUAUUGCUGUCUGCAUGUCCUCGCUCUACGAAACUUUCGGACGCUUAUGGAAUCGCUUGCGGAACGAUGCCCGGAGCUGGAGAUAAAAUAGUUUGUCGAAAAUGAAGAAGUGGAAGGCCAGGACAUUUUUCCUGAACCGGAAGUUGACACCCGUCGUCGCCAAUUGUUGAUUUUUUGACAAUUGUAAAGCUUCCAGAUGGAACUAGUAAAAAGGUUAUCUACACCAUUGCUAUUAAAGUCUGUAGCUACCCCGUAUUAAAUAAAUCGCUGGUUGUAUUCUUUAUUUUGAAGAGUCGAGAUUCGUGU